UCCCUGGUGGCUCAGAUGGUAAAGAAUCUGCCUGCAAUGCAAGAGACCCAGGUUCAAUUCCUGGGUUGGGAA
rnacentral:tRNA from 1 species